rnacentral:piRNA from 1 species
UCAAAUCCUACAAAGAUGCCUUCAAAUCC